AGACAAUAGAUACCCGGGUAGUCCACGCCGUAAACGAUGGUCACUAGGUGUGUGCGGUAUCGACCCCGCACGUGCCGGCGCUAAACGCACUAAGUGACCCGCCUGGGGAGUACGGCCGCAAGGUUGAAACUCAAAGGAAUUGACGGGGGCCCGGCACAAGCGGUGGAGCAUGUGGAUUAAUACGUCACUAACCGUAGAACCUUACCCAGGCUUGACAUCUGUGGAACCCCGCCCAAAACGUGGGGGUGCCCCGCAAGGGGAGCCACAAGACAGGUGUUGCACGGCUGUCGUCAGCUCGUGUCGUGAGAUGUUGGGUUAAGUCCCGCAACGAGCGCAACCCUCACCGUCUGUUGCCAGCGUCAAGUCGGGCACUCUGACGGAACUGCCCGGGUAACCGGGAGGAAGGUGGGGAUGACGUCAAGUCAGCAUGGCCCUUACGCCUGGGGCUUCACACAUGCUACAAUGGCCGGUACAGAGGGUCCCGAUACCGUGAGGUGAGGCAAUCCCAAAAAGCCGGUCUCAGUUCGGAUCGCAGGCUGCAACUCGCCUGCGU
rnacentral:rRNA from 1 species